AUUGAACGCUGGCGGCAUGCCUUACACAUGCAAGUCGAACGGCAGCACGGGUGCUUGCACCUGGUGGCGAGUGGCGAACGGGUGAGUAAUACAUCGGAACAUGUCCGCUGUGGGGGAGAGGCCCGCGAAAGACGGCUUAACUCCGCCAUACGACUAACGGUGAAAGCGGGGGACCUUCGGGCCUCGCGGUUUUGGGGUGGCCGAUGGCUGAUUAGCUAGUUGGUGGGGUAAAGGCCUACCAAGGCGACGAUCAGUAGCUGGUCUGAGAGGACGACCAGCCACACUGGGACUGAGACACGGCCCAGACUCCUACGGGAGGCAGCAGUGGGGAAUUUUGGACAAUGGGCGAAAGCCUGAUCCAGCAAUGCCGCGUGUGUGAAGAAGGCCUUCGGGUUGUAAAGCACUUUUGUCCGGAAAGAAAUCCUUGGCCCUAAUACGGUCGGGGGAUGACGGUACCGGAAGAAUAAGCACCGGCUAACUACGUG
rnacentral:rRNA from 1 species